ACUGUAUUGUCCUGGAGAUUAUAAUGUAGGAGAUGUGAAGUAGGAUUGUGAGUGGGACAGGAUUGUGAUUAUUUGUUUGCGAUGUAAAGCAAAGGUAAAACCACUGGGUGUGGUAAAAUAAUGUGUUUCCAUGACUUGUAGUAGAUUAUACUAUAGGAAUGUGUUAUUAGGAUUUUGUGAAGAGAGUACAUAAUGAUUGUGAUGUAAGCAGAGAGAUACAAACCACUGCUUGUGGAACGACGAGUGUUAUUAUUAUUGGCAACAACUGAGCACAUAUUGUAGUAUUAUGUUUAAGACAUGUCGUUUGUCAUAUGUUGCAUCCAUUGCUGAAUAUGCCAGUGUUAUGAUCGUCUGAGCAUAGAAUAUUGCGUAAGGCAAUUACUUUCAUUUAAUUUUAAAUAAAUGUAUAUUUACUUUUUCCCUUGUUUAUCCCCGAACACCAGUCUCCAAUAACAACUUAAGCCGGAUCACGCUACCAGGGAUACGAGACAGUGAGAUCAUUUAUGGAGUAAUUAAUGAGUGAUAAAAGAGUUGAUUUAAUACAAGAAAAGAAGGGUCUAAAACUGGCGGCAGCGGUAUAGGGAUAAAUAGGGACAUGUGCUUACAGUGCUUUUGUUUAAUUUACUCUGACGAGAAAACGCCUCUUAUUUUCAUUAAGCUUUACUCGUUUUAAGUGGCGGAAAUAAUAGUGACGAUUUAAUUAUAUAAUUAAUGGUUCUUCCGGAGGACAUGGACUUUGACGAUAUGGUAAUGGAAACUCUGGCCAACCACUGUUGUUCUGUAGUGCAAUGGGUAGCACACGCGACUCAACCGAGAAUUCAUGAGUUCCUUCCCGGGCGGAGUGGAGAGGGAUGGGCAGUCUCUCUCCACCCGCGCCGCGAUCCAUUCAUCAGUGAGAGGGUGUCAGGUGACAGGCAGCGGCAGCGUCCUGCCUCUCAGGUUCUCUUCGCAGUGCUGAGUCCAUCCCCCUACAGGAGCUAACAGCUGGCUUGCAGCCCCUAAAUUAUGUGGUCGAGCCGGAUCAGCCCUUUCAACCCGCAAUCCAUUGGUGGAUUGUCUUCGCCAUUGUCGUGAUCCUGGUUCUUCUGCUGGUGACGUCUGCCGUGGGGUAUUCCUAUGUCCUACGCUACGCACGACGCCGCCUAAUUCCAGACUCGAACCAACUGCAGACAUUGCAAGGCGUAUCUUCUCCACCAACACCUGUGAGAUCUCAGGGGCGAGAUC